CAGCCGCCGCGGUAAUACGUAGGUCCCGAGCGUUGUCCGGAUUUAUUGGGCGUAAAGGGAGCGCAGGCGGUUUAGUAAGUCUGGAGUUAAAGGCAUUGGCUCAACCAAUGUAUGCUUUGGAAACUGUUUGACUUGAGUGCAGAAGGGGAGGGUGGAAUUCCAUGUGUAGCGGAGAAAUGCGUAGAUAUAUGGAGGAACACCGGUGGCGAAAGCGGCUCUCUGGCUUGUAACUGACGCUGAGGCUCGAAAGCGUGGGGAGCAAACAGGAUUAGAUACCCCCGUAGUCCCUGUCUCUUAUACA
rnacentral:rRNA from 1 species